rnacentral:snRNA from 1 species
AGCUUUGCACAGUGGCACUAUUGUAGCCAAUGAGGUUUAUCCGAGAAGUGAUUAUUGCUAAUUGAAAAAUUACCCAUUGCUUAUCUGAAAUUUAAAUGUAACUGGGCA